rnacentral:lncRNA from 1 species
GCGAAGGCGCGGCGAUGAUAAGAACGAAGGGCGAGGCCGGAACGGGGAAUAUUAUCGAAGCGGUGAGGCACGUGCGGUCUGUGAUGGGGGAUAUUAGGGUUCUGAGGAACAUGGACGAUGACGAGGUGUUCACUUUCGCAAAGAAGAUAGCGGCGCCGUACGACUUGGUGAUGCAGACGAAGCAGCUGGGGCGGUUGCCGGUGGUGCACUUCGCAGCGGGAGGAGUGGCGACGCCGGCGGAUGCAGCGAUGAUGAUGCAACUUGGAUGCGACGGAGUGUUUGUCGGGUCGGGCGUGUUUAAGAGCGGGGACCCGGUGAAGCGGGCCCAGGCAAUUGUACGGGCGGUGACUCAUUACAGUGACCCGGAGGUGUUGGCGGAGGUGAGCUGCGGGUUGGGCGAGGCCAUGGUGGGUCUUAAUUUGAGUGACCACAAGGUUGAGAGGUUCG